ACUCCUACGGGAGGCAGCAGUGGGGAAUAUUGCACAAUGGGGGAAACCCUGAUGCAGCCAUGCCGCGUGUGUGAAGAAGGCCUUCGGGUUGUAAAGCACUUUCAGUAGGGAGGAAGGUAGUGUAGUUAACACCUGCACUAUUUGUACGUUACCUACAGAAGAAGCACCGGCUAACUCCGUGCCAGCAGCCGCGGUAAGUACGGAGGGUGCGAGCGUUAAUCGGAAUUACGUGGGCGUAAAGCGCAUGCAGGCGGCCUGUUAAGUCAGAUGUGAAAGCCCGGGGCUUAACCUCGGAAUUGCAUUUGAAACUGGCAGGCUAGAGUCUUGGUAGAGGGGGUUAGAAUUUCGAGGUGUAGCGGUGAAAUGCGUAGAGAU
rnacentral:rRNA from 1 species